ensembl:lncRNA
UUAUUCUUACAUGGUUCUGGCUUUAAUUGUUACUCUGUUAGUGGAGCGUGGUGAACAAAUGUCAUUUUAUGAAUAGCGGACAAGACUUUAAGAGUGGAGAGCUGGCACUUGUUGGCUUUGUUUGUGAGACCUGCUAAGUUGCAUGACUCAUAUUGAAGAUCAAGUUGCUGACUGCUGUGUUAAAUCUGAACAGUCAUACAUGGAGGAAAGGUUAGUUAGCAAUCCAUUGCUGUGCGCUUACCUGGGACUGGGUUGUGGGGGCCUAAGCAGAGAAGCCUUAAACAAGAACAGACCUGCAUCAUUCCCAGCCACCUCCUCUUGAUAAUCCAGUUGAAUAUCAUACGAUCCAAUAACCAGCCGGACGAGCAAUAUCUCUUCACGUGCCCUGGGUCUGCCCAGGUUUGUGUUUGUGUGUGUGUUUGGUCUGGGCACAAGGUGAGGUAUAAAUUGCUGUAGUUUAUGCUGCCUUUUUGAUCCCAAGGCUGAUAAAAACACUAAAAAGUUUUUUUUUCUAGUUUCUUAAUUACAGUUACUUCCUUUUGCAUGUGUCUUAUGUUUAACAGUUUAACAUAGCACACGUUUCUCUUAUGUUUCAAAAGACAGGCUGUGGUUAUGUGGUUGGUGUCUGUUUCCAUGAAAAGGUCUUUGUCUUUUGUCUUUUCCAUGAAAAGGUCAUGUUUGUCUGUGUGUUUGUUAUCUGUGUUCUGUUUAAGCUUUUAUCAGAUAGGGACACACAAAGGGUGAUGUAAAGAAGUGCUGUGUGUGUUUCAGGGAGGUUUAUGGUAAAGUCUACAUCCUGUAGCAUGGGUUGGGGAGUGUUGUCUUGUGGAAGGUAACUCAUGUUGCAUUUGCUGUGGCUCAGGGGCAGCAGGUAUAUUAACACUCGUACAUAACACUCAUAUCACAGCUGUGGGGCACUUAUGUAGUUUGUAGUUCUCUGUUCCUGGUGAACUCUGCUGUUGCUCCCUUCCCUAUUCCCAACUCUGUUCCUGGUGAACUCUGCUGUUGCUCCCUUCCCUAUUCCCAACCAAUCAGCAUUCAACAGUCUUCUGUGUCCCACAGUAUGCAGUGGUGAUUUUGGAGGACUGCACUGGAGCACAUCUGCAGUGGGUGAACACCCCUCUCUGUACGCUGUGUGAACAGGUGUAUGGGAGCAUGAACUUGUGGCCAGUUUUGGGUCUGAUCUUGCUGAGAUCUUUGUGUGAUGCUGACUCGUUUCCAUUUUUCUCGAGGCUUCUGCAGCAGUAAAUCUUUCUGCUGUGGUCUGUUACCCAUGUUCAUUAUAAUAAUUUAUAAUGUUGUUAUUGUUAUUAGACAUAAAAAAUUAGUUUAAAAAUGGUUUACACAGCUUCCCAUUAAUCUCAGCACAGCAACCAACCAGUUCUUAUAUUAAACACUGGAGAAGUAGGAUUAACAAAUUCAUGGCUUAAAAAUAUCCCAACAGAACAAUUCUGUGCAGAACUCUCGUGUUACCCCUCAUUUCUUUAUAUUUUGCCAAGAAAAAGGGAAAUAUGUGCAGUGAUUUAUUGAAACAAAGUAUAUAAGAGAGAAACAGAGUUUGUACCAUUUUACCAGCUUGUAAGUCAGUGGUUUGACCACUGUAAAUACCCCACGACAGCCCCGACCACAUGUUCAUGCUUUCCAGCACACACUUUUAUUCCCGGUUACUGUUUUUACAGACACAACUGCAGCUUUCCAGCUUGCUGCCAAACACACACCAGCAACAACAACCAAACUCAGGACCCAGCACAGAGUUUUAAGCCGGACGAGAUGAUCCCACAUUGCUUCAGUAAUGUUGAGUCCCAGGAUCUGGGGAGGCCAAUCCAUGAAUGAAAGUGCUCCACUGUGUGUUUUUCUAUCCAGGAGCUUCACUCUGAAUCCUGACCUCCUCCUUCUGCUUCAGUGGCUUCUGCCUCCAUAACUUGGUCACCAUGGCAACCAGCUGGAUGAUUGGAGUCCCUGUUUUCACUUUCACAGUCUUCACUGUUAUUUCACUGUUGAUGUUUAUAUUUCGUUGUGAUAAAAAUUAGCAGGCUGUUACAUCUGGUAUCAUGUAUUGGCGUUUCUCCUCCAAUAUAUCAGGAGAAUGAGACCAACUGAAGAACUUUCCCCUCUAACUGAAAAGUUGGUCCAGCCCAAACAGCUGGUAAAUCACAAUAACAUUAAUCAGUAUUUAGAGACAGAUGAAUUAUUUGUGCAGCACUUUUCCUGUGGAUGAAAUCCCUUUGCUACCAGCAGCGCCCUCUUUUGGCUGAUUUUUUUUUUUUUAAAAAGUCACCCACGGUGGAAGCGCCUCAAAUACAAAAAAACAAAACAAAACACAUGUUCAGGGGCUUUAUAUGAUUAAACAUAUCUAUAUAUAUAUGUAUAUAUAUAUAUAUGUGUCUAUAUAUAUAUAUUUUUAGGACAGUAACACAGACAAGGUCUGUAGAAUAGCAGAGCUAAAUCAGCAUAUUAAAGACCUCAAGCGGAAAAAGUCAAAGUUCCUUUUUAACACUGGUUUACAUUUUGUUUUUGUUGUGAAGAUUCUGGAUGUGAGUUUGUGAGAGAUGUAACACUAACUGCACAGUUGGCAGAUUUAAAACAGCAAAAUAAAAUUCCAAAUAACAAAGGUUUUUUUUACUAGCUGGUGUCAUUAGGAACAGUUAAGAGAGGUUAGUAACAUCUGGAAGACUCAGACUGAUGCAGAGAUCAGAACUCUGGUUCUUUCAGUUCUUCUGGUUACUGAAGCUGCUUCUUUGUCAGUCUUACUGUUAAAAAAAAGUGUUUGACUCCUUUGUGAUUUUUUAAAAUAUGUUUGUAUGUUUUUUACUUGUUUCAGAUCACUAACUUUAAAUACUAGACAAAUAUAGCACCGGUAGUUUAUUAUUACAGGAAAAAAAUCCAAACCUAUAUGGCUCUGUGUAGAAAAAAAAAAAUUUGAUGUUUGUGUGUAACUAUAACUGUCAGUACAAUAAACAUAGUUUUAAGACAUGUGUUACAGUUUUCUGUACUAUAAUCAGAAAUAAGAUGGAUUAAAAUUGUCCUGAGAGGACUCUAUUAAGAACUCUGCAGUGUCUCUUUGGCCAGCACCAGUGUGGUUUUGAUGCUUCCUGUUUAGUCACACAAACUGUAACUGAGGUUACUUCUCUGUAGAUUAACAUCAUUAUGAGUUGUGUGUAACCAUAACCGUGUGUUUUUAGUCCUCCUGCAAACCAGUCUUCUCCAUGUUAUUGUGCCAUCCUCCCAUUUAACUACCUCCAACUACUACUACUACUAAGACUACGAAAGUCUUCAGGUGCCCCGCUCCUCGCCUCCACCACUCCUUCCCACCAGGCAGCCAUAACCACAACUCCACUUUCAAAUCCUGUCUCAAAAUGCUUGUAAUUGUGUGUGGGUUGUUUUUGUUUUUACUUUUCUGUUCAACGUGACCUGUAGUGUUUUGAAUCAGCAGAAUCUCACUGAAACUAAAGUUUGUUUGAUGAGGUGAAAUUGCUGCUUUUUCUGACACACUGAGUCAGAACAAGCAUGGGCGUGGCAAAAAGUGUUCCCCACAGUGAACAGUGAAAAUAUGAGCAACACAUUUAUGAGCAAACAUUUGCCAGUGUUUUUUGGCAGACAUCCUCAGACCAAAGAUUUCUGUAGUAAAAUAUAAAGAAGUGAAUUGUCUUUGCUCCUUUUUUUGUUCUCAAACUGUUCUCCUCUAGAAGCUCAGUCUGGCUGGAGUUCUUUUUUGUCCUCAUCUUCCCUCAUGGAUUGCAUAUUUCAUUGUUUCCAGUUCGUACCUCUGUCCGAACUGUCCCCUCUAUCUAUCUAUCUAUCUAUCUAUCUAUCUAUCUAGUCUUUUAAGCUUCUGUUUGGAAAGAUGAACCUUUAACAUAAACUGAAGCCCAUGAUAGUACAGAUGGUCUCUGUUGAAACUGAGAUUUGAAUCUCAAUGAGAUUUUUAUUUAUUUAGAAAAUAUAUACACAAAUAUAGGCAUAGAUUUUAAGAAUAAAACAAAUCAAAUCUAA